rnacentral:rRNA from 1 species
AGUGAACGCUGGCGGUAGGCCUAACACAUGCAAGUCGAACGGCAGCACAGUAAGAGCUUGCUCUUACGGGUGGCGAGUGGCGGACGGGUGAGGAAUACAUCGGAAUCUACUUUUUCGUGGGGGAUAACGUAGGGAAACUUACGCUAAUACCGCAUACGACCUACGGGUGAAAGCAGGGGAUCUUCGGACCUUGCGCGAUUGAAUGAGCCGAUGUCGGAUUAGCUAGUUGGCGGGGUAAAGGCCCACCAAAGCGACGAUCCGUAGCUGGUCUGAGAGGAUGAUCAGCCACACUGGAACUGAGACACGGUACAGACUCCUACGGGAGGCAGCAGUGGGGAAUAUUGGACAAUGGGCGCAAGCCUGAUCCAGCCAUACCGCGUGGGUGAAGAAGGCCUUCGGGUUGUAAAGCCCUUUUGUUGGAAAGAAAAGCAGCAGGUUAAUACCCCGCUGUUCUGACGGUACCCAAAGAAUAAGCACCGGCUAACUUCGUG